UCCUGGAUAGCUCAGUUGGUUAGAGCAUGAUACUGGUAACGCCAAGGUUGCAGGUUCAGUUCCCUUAUGGGAC